GUGGGUGUAGCUCAGAUGGUUAGAGCGCAGGAUUGUGGCUCCUGAGGUCGUGGGUUCAAAUCCCAUCACUCACCCCA
rnacentral:tRNA from 1 species